CCGGAGGCUGCAGGGAAAGGACGCAGGGAAGGUGGGAUCGUCUCGGGCAGGGGGCCAGCAGGACAGGCAGGUGGGAGAUGGAGAGUGAAGAGGAGUCAGCUUGAUCGACCAGGACCAGCCAGGAUGCCAGGAGUUCUCAGUCAUGCCUCUCUCAAGGAAGUGAAGAUCAGGAAAGAUGGGACACCAAGAAGAGUUGCCCAGCUAGCUAUGAGCAGGUGGUCACAGUGAUGAGGGAAAGACCUGACUAAAUGACAGCAGCCAAGUCACAGCAGCCAAGUCAGGGACGGGAGACAGCUCUCCUUGCUCAAGAGCUGUCGGUGCACAGUUUUAUCAGCGUGUGAAACUUUUGGGUCACGACAUCCCAGUGCCACGUGAAAUAGUGUGCUCCACAGUCUUGUAAAUGCAGUGUGCCCACGCCAAGGCCUCGCUGUGAACACUAGCCUCUCUCCUUAUGGGAGCUGCAGGGGUAGAAACCUGUGAAGUUGCCUUAUUUAUGAAAGUGUUAAUUUAGCUAGGAGUAGGUAGAUGAUGUGUGACUUGGUAAAUACGGAGCAGACAAUGAAAAGACCUGUUAAUUUCGCUCUUGAAUUCACAUUUUGGGAAAUGUUUAUAAACUGAGAAUUCUAAUUCCUUUCCUUGCUCACGCUUCUCCUCAGAUGGCUAUAUUGCAACGGAAUGAUAGCCCCUGUGAAAAAUAUCACUUAGUUUUUUACAGCAGUGGCCUGACUCUACGAAUAGCAGGGACUCACUCUUAACCAGUCCAGGAGUUUGCACCCGUGUAGUUUAAAGGCCCUGAAGGAGAUUCAGCCGAGGUCUCCUCAUUUGCGUUGAAUGGAAGCAGCGUCCAGAUGGACAUCCUCUUCCAAAUCCUGGGAUCUCUUUGGCUAGGCCAGUUAAAGAGUCUGGGCUUCAUUUCUGACUGUCUGUAGUCAGAUGCAUUCCGGGUAGGACUUUUAGGUAUGAACAGGAGCUCACACUAAGAACAGGAUAGAGGGCAGUAUUGAGUUCUCCCAGUGAAGACAGAAAUGAACCCUUUCUUCAUUUUAGGCUUAGACUGGAUUGAACUAGCUUGGGUCAUGCAGAUUGUAAUCCCUGGGUCUGUUUGGUUUAGGUCUGGGUAAAGCCCAGCAUAACAGCUGUCACCGUGGUAACAGAAAUGCUGUGGGUACUUAGAGGCUAUGAUGGUGCCCAGUCACGGGUGCUGUUGGACCAUGGGCUUUAAGUGCACAGACCUGGGUGUGUGCUCAGCUGGCUGAUCACACUGUGCAUCUCUGGGGAGCCUCAUAGGCAGUCCUUCCCCUCCACCACUGCUCCAGGCUGUCAUUUGCCUGUUUACUUAGUUGCUUGCUUCUGCUUGCUGAUAUCUACCCAACCCCCCACUGCUGCCUCGAAGCCUGGCAUGUCCAGGCACAGCAAAGAGCUCCAAACAGCUGAGGAGACAAGACAGAAAGCAGCGGAGCAAAAUUUAUGGGAAAAAUUAUCGUCAUUUGCCAGAGAUGUAAUCUUAUUACUAGGAAAUCCAAUAAAAUUGGCUAAAACACUUAAUUAUGGCAGAUAAGAGAGCUUAGUGAGAUGUCACACCCAAAAUAAUAAAGGUU
rnacentral:lncRNA from 1 species